AUAAGCAUCAUCUCCAUUUUACAAAUAAGUAAACUGAGCUUGAGAGAGGCUAAGUAACUUUUCUAAGUUUACAAAACUAGUACAACGAUUCCAAUAUAUAUUGGACUGGCUCCAAAGCCUUUCCAUUUUCCGGGAGGGAGGAAAAUACAAAGACUCGUGUACCUACCACUCAGAACUAGCAAAUGAAAAUGUGCUCUCAUAUUUGCUUCGGGCCUUUUCUUUCCUCUGGCCAUGAUGAAAGCAGCAGAACAUGCAGACGCAUGAGGUCCCUGCUCCAGGCCCUCCUCAGUCCCAUUCCCCUCUCUUCGUCCCCUGGGGCAUCCUCUGUUUUGUAUUUGGUGCCUCCUGCUACCUGACUGUCGUCCUCUUGCCACACGUGGAUGUGUCCGGAAGCACACAUCCGUCGCAUGCUUCACACUCCAGCAUGCCAGCACACUGUAUGUCUUGUUGUACAACCGUGUCUUUCCCUCAUGUUGGUCUUGGAGCUCUACCCAUGUUCCAACACAGAGACCUGGCUUAUCCAUGUUAUUUGCCUGCUCUGUGGUAUUCUUCCAUACGAAUACACCACUGCAUAUGUACCCGUUCCUUUAUGGACCGGCGCCUGGGCACUCUUUGGUUUUUCCUUCUGAAAAUGACCCCCGUAGGCCAGGCGCAGUGGCUCACACCUGUAAUUCCAGCACUUUGGGAGGCCGAGACAGGUGGAUCACCUGAGGUCAGGAGUUUGAGACCGGCCUGACCAACAUGGCGAAUCCCCCUCUACUAAAAAUACAAAAAUUAGCUGGGCUUGGUGGUGGGCGCCUGUAAUCCCAGCUACUCCAGAGGCUGAGGGAGGAGAAUCGGCUGAACCCGGGAGGCGGAGGUUGCAGUGAGCCAAGAUCGAGCCAUUGCACUCCAACCUGGGUGACAGGGCAAGACUCCGUCUCAAGAAAGAAAGACAGACAGACAGACAGAAAGAAAGAAAAGAAGAGAGAGAGAGAAAGACAGACAGAAAGAAAAGAAAUAGAGAAAGAAAGAAAGAAAGAAAGAAAGAAAGAAAGAAAGAAAGAAAGAAAGAAAGAAAGAAAGGAAGGAAGGAAGAAAGAAAGAAAGAAAGAAAGAAAGAAAGAAAGAAAGAAAGAAAGAAAGAAAGAAAGAAAGAAAGAAAGAAAGAAAGAAAAUGGCCCCAUAGUGCUUAAGUCCUCAGACAUGUGUCCUGGUGCUGGGGACAGGGCUUCUGACAUUCUCUCAGGUCAGUAUUUGCAGGUCAUCCACCUUCGACUUCAACACAUGUGACCAGAAACCUUCCCAAGGCAGCCAUCCACUUUGCUGUCCCUCCGACGGCCAUGGCUGACCACUGCUGCUGCUGUGUAUCCUCGGUGACAUCUGGCCUUGGCAGCCUAUGGAUUUCUGCCAUUCUCCUGGCAUGAAAUCACUCCUUCUUGUUGUUUUAAUUUGCAUUUCUUCAGUUACCAGCGCAGUUGAGCAUCUUUUCAUACACUUACUGACCAUUCUACUUUAUGCUGUGAACUGCCUUUAAUUUCUGUAAUGGGUUGAACUGUGUCCCCCUGAAAAGACAUUGAAGUCCUAACCCCCUAGGUUCUCUGAAUGUGAGCUUAUCUGAAAUAGGGUCUUUACCGAAGACCAAGUAAGCUGUGGUUAUGAGGGCGUGCUCUAAUCCAAUGUGACUGGUGUCCUAUUAGAAAACACUGGAAAUCUGGAUACAGUGACAGACACAUACGGAGGGAAGAAGAUGUGAAGACAGAGAGAAGACCGUCAUCAACAAGCCAUGGAAUGCCAGAGGCCACCAGCAGCUGAGAGAAAGGCCUGCACAGACGCUCCCCACAGCCCUCAGAAGCAGCCAGCCCUGCUGACACCUUGAUCUCAGGCACCAGGAACGGCUUUUAUAAAACUUCAAAAUAAGGCUAAAGAAAACACAGGAGAGGAAGGUUGCUGCAGAAGUGGAGACGCUCCGAAGGCACGAUGCAUGCAACUCCACAGCAGGGCUGCAGCCGGCCCCUCAGAGAAGGAAUGCCAGAAAUCCCCUAUUCUCUGCUGCAGCCGCAACUACAGUCUCACUCCUGCACUGUAGGAAGCAACUUCCUUCUGCCUCCCUUCCACCAGCAGAACCCUAGGUGAGAGGCUUUUCUCUUAGGACUCAGGCUGCCACAGAUGGUGACUCCAGGCACUGGAGAAGCAAAGGUGCCACAGCCAUCCUAGGUUUGUCUUGGUGAACUUACAGGUGGGUGCAAGAAGUUGCUAAGUCUGCAGAUGUCUUAGCCAUACGCCAGCAUCAAGUAGCCCGGAGAAGUGAAGCAGAAGAUUUUCAGCCCAAUUUAAAUUUCCACCUGCCCACUACCUGAGUUCUUUUACACCCAGGUCAGUUUUGCAAACAAGACCCUGAUAUACCCAAGCCCAGCUGCUUUCAGAAAGUAACACCAAUUGAAGCACCACGGUAUUUAUCAGAGUAAACUCUGAUCAACCAGAUAUAGUAUUUUAUAAACCAGAGGUUCUAAUUAUAAAAGACAAGAUAAAAGCAGAUUAUGAAAAUAGCAUUUCUGUUCUGGUGAAAAACACAUCUUCAACCCCAAAAUGAUGUGAAAAUUGUCUUCCAAAUCCUGCCCUGACAGAAUCACUGUCUAUAGCAACAGUGUCCAUAACAUUCCAAAUCUCAGGAGUGUAACUUUCUAGUAAAUGGUACAUCUGUCAAGCCACAGGAAACAUCUGGUAAAAUGGUUAAAUAAAAGCAGAAUUUAAACUUUUCUGAUUUCAGAGCUUACUAAUGGUACUCAACAAGAGACUAUCAAAUACUCUAAAAGCUCAAUGUGACAGUGAAAAAUAUCCUGGAGGGGACCAGGUGAG
rnacentral:lncRNA from 1 species